CUUUGUUCUCUGCCGUUGGGUUAUGAUCAAGCGUCCUGUCUGCUCUUAUCAGUGUAAUAUCCCAUCUUCCUCCAUCUGAGGACACUUUAUGAAAUGGAUUUUUGGAGUGAGGAGAUGGAAUAGGAACUUGUCUGCUCAUUGAGACUACUAACCUGGUUCCUCUGGAAACCAA
rnacentral:snRNA from 1 species